rnacentral:rRNA from 1 species
GACGAACGCUGGCGGCGUGCUUAACACAUGCAAGUCGAACGGUAAGGCCCUGCUUUUGUGGGUUUCUCGUGUCGCGAACGUGUGUGUAACACGUGCGUACCCUCCCCUUCACUUUGUUAUCACUUCAGGAAACUGGCUCUUAUCCCGUAUAUCAUCUCCUCCUCCUUGUUGGGUCUUGGAAAGUUUCGGCGGUUGGGUUUGGACUCGCGGCUUUUCAGCUUGUUGGUGGGGUAGUGGAUUACCAAGGCUUUGACGGGUAGUCGGGAUGAGAGGGUGACCGGCGAGAUGGGGACUGAGAGACGGCCCAGACGCAUACGGGAGGCAGCAGUGGGGAAUAUUGCACAAUGGGCGGAAGCCUGAUGCAGCAACGCAGCGUGCGGGAUGAAGGCCGUCGGGUUGUAAAACGAUUUCGACAGUGACGAAGCGAGAGUGACGGUAAAGGGAAAAGAAGCACCGGCUAACUACGUG